CUUUGUUCGUGAAGCUAUGUUUGUGUAGUGUUUGGGUUAUGGUGAAUUUUUAUUGGACUUACUUUCUAUUUAAAUUUUAGCAAUUGUUGAUCAUUUUGUUGGAAUGGACUUCAAAACAAAAAAUACAAAUUGCUAAACAAAAGGCAUGUGUCUUCUCUGCCUAGGUGCGCCUUAGGCAAUCAACGUUGGUCCUUUUUCCGCCUACGUGCAAGGCAAAUCAUUUUCUCCAUGCCCCUCUUCUUGGUGGGUAUUUUUAGAAUAAAGAUUCAUCUUGAUUAUCAUAAACAUCGUCAUUUUUUUUCCUCUUGUGCAUCGUAUUUUAUGUAGCAAAAUGUUUUGAAACAACAUAACAAUAAUACAAUAUUUACAUAAAUUAUUGCAAGCAUUUUCAACUAAUUUUCAUAAGUAUAAUCACA
rnacentral:lncRNA from 1 species